GUAAGUAUUCACCACUAAUUUUACUGUAGCACUGGAUGUCAAAGUCUCAGGUGUGAGCAAACUGAUUAAGAAAUACAUGGAAACUGGUUCAAUUACUCAAAGGCCAGGAUCUGGAAGACCUUCAAAAGUAACCAGAGAAGUUUUAAAGAUAGUAUAGGACCAAAUGCAAGCUGAUGAUGAAAGCACUGCUACUCAACUUCAGUAGCUUCUCGUUGAGAAAGGUCAUUCACUGUCACUGAAAACAAUAUUGAAGUCUCGCAAUACACUUGGUUGGACAUACCGUGGCAGUGCAUACUGCCAGAUCAUUAGAGGACCAAAUAAAGAGAAGCGAAUGAAAUUGGCUCAAGAUCAGUUGCAGGAGCACAGGACUACUGGUUUUUCUGAUGUACUGUACAGUGAUGAGUGUACAAUUGAAUUCGAAUCCCACAGGAGAUUUUCAUGAAGGAAAAUAGGUGCCCUCGAAACCAAAACCAAGAGCAAAACACCCCUAUAAGGUACAUGCAUGGGCAGGUAUAAGUUGCCAAGGAAAGACGCCAAUUGUGCUGUUUGAAGAAAAAA
rnacentral:lncRNA from 1 species